rnacentral:rRNA from 1 species
AGUGAACGCUGGCGGUAGGCCUAACACAUGCAAGUCGAACGGCAGCACAGGAGAGCUUGCUCUCUGGGUGGCGAGUGGCGGACGGGUGAGGAAUACAUCGGAAUCUACCCUGUCGUGGGGGAUAACGUAGGGAAACUUACGCUAAUACCGCAUACGACCUACGGGUGAAAGCAGGGGACCUUCGGGCCUUGCGCGAUUGAGUGAGCCGAUGCCGGAUUAGCUAGGUGGCGGGGUAAAGGCCCACCAAGGCGACGAGCCGUUGGUGGUCUGAAAGGAUGAUCAGCCAAACGGGAACUGAGACACGGUCAAGACUCGUACGGGAGGCAGCAGUGGGGAAUAUUGGACAAUGGGCGCAAGCCUGAUCCAGCCAUACCGCGUGGGUGAAGAAGGCCUUCGGGUUGUAAAGCCCUUUUGUUGGGAAAGAAAUCCAGCUGGCUAAUACCCGGUUGGGAUGACGGUACCCAAAGAAUAAGCACCGGCUAACUUCGUGCCAGCCGCCGCCGUAA